rnacentral:lncRNA from 1 species
GCUGGAGAGGCUGGAAGUGCCGGAGUGGCCGGGCAGAGGGGUGUGAACGGUAAAGACGGAGAGACCGGAGCUGCAGGUCCCCCAGGCCCCGCCGUGAGCAUCUCUUACACCUACAGUCUAUCAUCAAAACAAUAAAUGACUUCUGUUUGACUUUGAAUCUUCUCUUCAAGGGCUCCGCUGGAAAGAGAGGAGAGCAGGGAUCUCAGGGACUCAACGGCUUCCAGGGAUUGCCAGGAUCCGCAGGCCCUCCUGGAGAGUCAGGGAAACCCGGUAGUGAGGUU